UAGGGAAUCUUCGGCAAUGGACGGAAGUCUGACCGAGCAACGCCGCGUGAGUGAAGAAGGUUUUCGGAUCGUAAAGCUCUGUUGUAAGAGAAGAACGAGUGUGAGAGUGGAAAGUUCACACUGUGACGGUAUCUUACCAGAAAGGGACGGCUAACUACGUGCCAGCAGCCGCGGUAAUACGUAGGUCCCGAGCGUUGUCCGGAUUUAUUGGGCGUAAAGCGAGCGCAGGCGGUUAGAUAAGUCUGAAGUUAAAGGCUGUGGCUUAACCAUAGUAGGCUUUGGAAACUGUUUAACUUGAGUGCAAGAGGGGAGAGUGGAAUUCCAUGUGUAGCGGUGAAAUGCGUAGAUAUAUGGAGGAACACCGGUGGCGAAAGCGGCUCUCUGGCUUGUAACUGACGCUGAGGCUCGAAAGCGUGGGGAGCAAACAGGAUUAGAUACCCUGGUAGUCCACGCUGUAAACGAUGAGUGCUAGGUGUUAGACCCUUUCCGGGGUUUAGUGCCGUAGCUAACGCAUUAAGCACUCCGCCUGGGGGGUACGACCGCAAGGUU
rnacentral:rRNA from 1 species